rnacentral:tRNA from 1 species
GCCUGAAUAGCUCAGCGGUAGAGCAACCGGCUGUUAACCGGUUGGUCACAGGUUCAAAUCCUGUUUCAGGCGCCA